rnacentral:rRNA from 1 species
UACGUAGGCAGCGAGCGUUGUUCGGAGUUACUGGGCGUAAAGGGUGCGUAGGCGGUUGUUUAAGUUUGGUGUGAAAUCUCCCGGCUCAACUGGGAGGGUGCGCCGAAUACUGAAUGACUAGAGUGCGGGAGAGGAUAGUGGAAUUCCUGGUGUAGCGGUGAAAUGCGUAGAUAUCGGGAGGAACACCAGUGGCGAAGGCGAUCACCUGGGGUUGUUCUGACGCUGAGGAGCGAAAGCUAGGGGAGCAAACGGG